rnacentral:rRNA from 1 species
GCAUAUCAAUAAGCGGAGGAAAAGAAACCAACAGGGAUUGCCUCAGUAACGGCGAGUGAAGCGGCAAAAGCUCAAAUUUGAAAUCUGGCUUCUUCGGAGCCCGAGUUGUAAUUUGUAGAGGAUGCUUCGGGCGUGGCCGCGGUCUAAGUCCCCUGGAACGGGGCGUCGCAGAGGGUGAGAAUCCCGUCUUCGGCCGGCCGGCUUCGCCCGUGUGAAGCUCCUUCGACGAGUCGAGUUGUUUGGGAAUGCAGCUCUAAAUGGGUGGUAAAUUUCAUCUAAAGCUAAAUACUGGUCGGAGACCGAUAGCGCACAAGUAGAGUGAUCGAAAGAUGAAAAGCACUUUGAAAAGAGAGUUAAACAGCAUGUGAAAUUGUUGAAAGGGAAGCGCUUGCGACCAGAGUCGGCCGCGGGGGUUCAGCGGGCAUUCGUUGCCCGUGCACUCCCCCGGGGCCGGGCCAGCGUCGGUUUCGACGGCCGGUCAAAGGCCCCCGGAAUGUGUCGCCUCUCGGGGCGUCUUAUAGCCGGGGGUGCAAUGCGGCCAGUCGGGACCGAGGAACGCGCUUCGGCACGGACGCUGGCUUAAUGGUCGUAAGCGACCCGUCUUGA